AUUGAACGCUGGCGGCAUGCCUUACACAUGCAAGUCGAACGGCAGCACGGGAGCAAUCCUGGUGGCGAGUGGCGAACGGGUGAGUAAUAUAUCGGAACGUGCCCAGUCGUGGGGGAUAACGCAGCGAAAGCUGUGCUAAUACCGCAUACGAUCUAUGGAUGAAAGCGGGGGAUCGCAAGACCUCCCGCGAUUGGAGCGGCCGAUAUCAGAUUAGCUAGUUGGUGGGGUAAAGGCCCACCAAGGCGACGAUCUGUAGCUGGUCUGAGAGGACGACCAGCCAAACUGGAACUGAGACACGGUCCAGACUCCUACGGGAGGCAGCAGUGGGGAAUUUUGGACAAUGGGCGCAGGCCUGAUCCAGCAAUGCCGCGUGCAGGAUGAAGGCCUUCGGGUUGUAAACUGCUUUUGUACGGAACGAAACGGUCCUUUCUAAUACAGGGGGCUAAUGACGGUACCGUAAGAAUAAGCACCGGCUAACUACGUGCCAGCCGCCGCGGUAAUAC
rnacentral:rRNA from 1 species